rnacentral:rRNA from 1 species
AGUGAACGCUGGCGGUAGGCCUAACACAUGCAAGUCGAACGGCAGCACAGUAAGAGCUUGCUCUUACGGGUGGCGAGUGGCGGACGGGUGAGGAAUACAUCGGAAUCUACUUUUUCGUGGGGGAUAACGUAGGGAAACUUACGCUAAUACCGCAUCCGACCUCCGGUGGAAAGCAGGGGAUCUUCGGACCUUGCGCGAUUGAUUGAGCCGAUGUCGGAUUAGCUAGUUGGCGGGGUAAAGGCCCACCAAGGCGACGAUCCGUAGCUGGUCUGAGAGGAUGAUCAGCCACACUGGAACUGAGACACGGUCCAGACUCCUACGGGAGGCAGCAGUGGGGAAUAUUGGACAAUGGGCGCAAGCCUGAUCCAGCCAUACCGCGUGGGUGAAGAAGGCCUUCGGGUUGUAAAGCCCUUUUGUUGGGAAAGAAAAGCAGCAGGUUAAUACCCCGCUGUUCUGACGGUACCCAAAGAAUAAGCACCGGCUAACUUCGUG